rnacentral:lncRNA from 1 species
UCCUGGCUGCUUGGGAUUAGGGUGAUUUUUCUCUCCUGCUGAUCCAUAGUUUCUUGAAUCGUCGCUUCCAAGCAUUUGCCCUUUGCUUCCUCCAUUAUUCUCCACUCCUCCUGUCCCCAGAUCCUCUUCUAUAUACAAAACAAUUACAGACACUAGUUUUACAAUCACGAAAGUCAAUACUAACAUCCAAAUAUCCAAUCAUACAUACCUUCUAAGUGUCUGGCAGCCAGCGAAGGUGAUAACGUGGCCACUAUGAUGGUGAUAACAAGUAAGCUGCAGAAGCAGGAUACUCUGUUUCUCAUUCUCGUUUUUUGUGUGUGUGGAGAUUCCAAUUUGUUGAGUUGAGUAUGAGUGUGAGUAUGAGUGUGAGUUAUAUAUAUAUAUAUAUAGAAAGAAAUCAAUAGGGAGGUAGGUGCUGAAUGCUUCUUACUUGACUUAGGCGACUUCUUGUAAGUUUCUGUUUCUUUUUAUUUCUUUCUGAAUUGUUGAUGCUUGAUUUUGGGAUUGGUUACGAAGUAAAGAAUGGGUUAUACGAAUGUAGUAAGUAGUACGUACACUGCUUGAAUUGACAGCUGACACCUCUUCUUCCUGCUUCUUUGUCUUCUUUUUUGUUGACGACCAUUUUGCGGGGUGAUGAAGUGAACAAGUCGUCCUUGUUCAUAUUACUGUGGGAUUAUAUUCUACUACACAAGUUGCCAAGUUGGAAUCUUGUUAAUGUUUAUCAUUAAUACUAGUCUGAUACCCGGCCUUUUGAUCGAUCUACUUUAUAUUUUCCCUUUUGAGAAAGAGUCUCAUUUUUUAAGAAAUAUCGUUAAUAUACAUAGUAAGUAGAGAUAUAAUUUUAGCAUUUUAUUUAGUUUGGCCGGGCAUAUAUGAUUUGUAUUUUUUUUAAAUUCAAUUUUAAAGUUCAAUUUUAAUAAACUAAAAGAAUAUAAGUGUUUGUAAUCCUAAUUUAAUGUUAAUAAUGUAUUUUAAUUUACUUAGUUUUAGUAGGGCAAACCAUAUUGUAGUCAAAUUUGAUGCGUCACUUUUGAUUUUUCAAAUAUUUAUAAUAUAUGAUAUUAUAUAUAAAUUUUGAUAAACUUUGGACCUCACAAGCAUAUAUGUAUUAAACUAAAAGUGAUUGAACAUAGUUGNNNNNNNNNNNNNNNNNNNNNNNNNNNNNNNNNNNNNNNNNNNNNNNNNNNNNNNNNNNNNNNNNNNNNNNNNNNNNNNNNNNNNNNNNNNNNNNNNNAAUGUGGGGAUUUUUUUAUUGACUGGAAAUCUAAAAAUAUGGGUUGAAGCCCAAAUAGACAAUUAUAUUGAGGUGUCAACUUCUAAAUUCUGAAAAUAUAUUACAUGUAGUAUAGAUUAUUGCUUAUUAUUUCUCGAUUGUGAAACUUGGAAUUCAAAUUUCACUCUCUCUAACUUUUUAUUUAUAAUCAAUAUUUACUCUUAUUACUAAUAUAUACACCAACAGUAAUACACUGAUACAAUCAAUUCUCAAUAGCCAUUUGUUCUGCUUAGGGUUUAGGCUUUCCCUCUCAAUUUGGGACUUCCCUGUGAAAUAUAGCACCGCCAACUUCCAUGAUGAAAUUAUGGCUCUAGUUUUGGCUUAGCUUGGUCUAAGAUUUGCACAGUGAUUAGUUUUGAUUAUAACUAGUACUAAUUUGUGAUUCUCAAGUGGUAAUUUGAAAAUAGUAUAUUUUUUCGAAAUUGGUAUUUCUUCCAUAGCUACCUGACCAACCAGCGCUUUCAAAAUCGUGCCGUAUAAAAUAAGUUCCAUCGGUGGGCCAGAGACCAUAUUGUGGAAAUGGCUUGAUUAGGAGAAGGUCCUGUUUCAGAUAUAUGCUCAAAGACAAUGAUCGAGGAUAACAAUGACCAACGCAACACUGCCAAAUCUCCAUCUCCAUAUAAUAAUAUUCUUUGUAAGACUGGUUCCAAUUGGGCCUACUCUAAAUGUGAGCUGUAGCACACUUAAUAGACGACGAAACUCGUAAAGUUUUUACUUAAGGAACCCGUACUAAAUCUGUCCUGUUCUGGAAAACAUAUGGAGUUCAGCUACGGGAGUAGGCUUGUAGGAUUUGAUUUUGUUCCCGGAGUCUAAUGGAAUGUGAUUAAUUCGGUACCCCCUAUGAUAACAUGUAUUAUCAGUUUAAAUUAGGCUGACGGUCAACAAUUUUGAAAUUUACUUAACGAUAGUAUCAUUAUAUUUGAUAACCGUUCAAGGGGUUUUUUGUAUAUAUAACAAAAGCAAUUUCCCGCCUGAUCCCUUAGCACUUUGUUUUUUGUUUCGGAGAACCCCCAACCAAACGUAUCAAUCUUCUGACAUUCGAACCCGGUUAAACUCCAAUUUUGUACAGGGACAGACCCCACAUAUAACGAUUAAACGCUCUUCUCCCAAGAGCAGUCUGCUAUCUAUUUCAAAUUUGAUAGCGUUGUCUAGAUCCAACAGCAUAGAGUAAAACUUCUUGCUUUGAGGAUCAAGGGCCACUCUAGCAUUUGGAUGACACUUUCCCAAAGGGGGUGAAAUAGUGUAUACUCCGUGAGGAGUUGCCCCUUCCGACUUUUGGAGCGACUAUAUAUAAACCGUACAAACUAAUCAUAUAGGUCUAUGUAGAAAUAUAUUAUAAAUAUUAUCAGAUUGAAACUUAGUAUUUCUGAAUUACUAAAACAACUCUAACAUUAUUGUAACUCAAUGAAUUAGCAGCCCCAAAAGUUACACUCGUCAAAAAGGGAGCCCAGAAAGAAGGUAUGUAUUAUUUAAUCGAAUAAAAUGCAGCAUAUAUCAUUAUAAUUGUAAGUUAUUGUACUUAAUGCCACUAUAUUUAAGAGUUUACACUGAAUGUCAUUAUAGUAUUGUUUUACAUGUUUUUACAUAUUAUUAUAAAAAAAAUUAAAACCCAACGGUCACCGUUUCAAAGUAUGAUGGAUGAGAAUUAGAAGGAAACUGCAGAAUGCUAGCUAGCACCUAAGAUACAUAGGGCAAGCAGAAGUUGUAGUAGAAUUCGGAGCAGUAGUGUAUGCGUAGUAGUAGUAUUCACGAGACGUGGUGGUCCUGGUGGAUGAAGAGUAGUAGUAUUCAUCUUCUGACGACUGCUGGGUCUCUGCUUGUGAUCCCGACGUUUGUUCCACAUUAUUAUUAUUAUUAUUGUUAUUAUUAUUUGCAGAUGAUGGAAUACUGUUGUUGAUGACUUGUUCAUUAUCUCCUGGCUGCUUGGGAUUAGGGUUCUCUCCUGCUGAUCCAGAGUUUCUUGAGUCGCUUCCAUGCGCUUGCCCUUUGCUUCCUCCAUUAUCGUCCAGUACUCCUUCUGUCCCCUGAUCCUCUUGAUGGUCUACACAAAACAAGGACACACACUACUUUUACAUUUUAUAACAUUUAUUUUAUUUUAACAUCCAUCCAAAUUAAUAUUACAU